rnacentral:rRNA from 1 species
CGGAACGUGCCCAGUAGCGGGGGAUAACUACGCGAAAGCGUAGCUAAUACCGCAUACGCCCUACGGGGGAAAGGGGGGGAUCGUAAGACCUCUCACUAUUGGAGCGGCCGAUAUCGGAUUAGCUAGUUGGUGAGGUAAAGGCUCACCAAGGCGACGAUCCGUAGCUGGUUUGAGAGGACGACCAGCCACACUGGGACUGAGACACGGCCCAGACUCCUACGGGAGGCAGCAGUGGGGAAUUUUGGACAAUGGGGGAAACCCUGAUCCAGCCAUUCCGCGUGUGCGAUGAAGGCCUUCGGGUUGUAAAGCACUUUUGGCGGGAAAGAAAUCGGUCGGGCUAAUACCCUGACCGGAUGACGGUACCCGCAGAAUAAGCACCGGCUAACUACGUGCCAGCAGCCGCGGUAAUACGUAGGGUGCAAGCGUUAAUCGGAAUUACUGGGCGUAAAGCGUGCGCAGGCGGUUCGGAAAGAAAGAUGUGAAAUCCCAGGGCUCAACCUUGGAACUGCAUUUUUAACUACCGGGCUAGAGUGUGUCAGAGGGAGGUGGAAUUCCGCGU